rnacentral:rRNA from 1 species
CCUACGGGAGGCUGCAGUGGGGAAUAUUGCACAAUGGGGGAAACCCUGAUGCAGCGACGCCGCGUGAAGGAAGAAGUAUUUCGGUAUGUAAACUUCUAUCAGCAGGGAAGAAAAUGACGGUACCUGAGUAAGAAGCCCCGGCUAACUACGUGCCAGCAGCCGCGGUAAUACGUAGGGGGCAAGCGUUAUCCGGAUUUACUGGGUGUAAAGGGAGCGUAGACGGCAGUGCAAGUCUGGAGUGAAAGGCGGGGGCUCAACCCCCGGACUGCUCUGGAAACUGUACGGCUGGAGUGCAGGAGAGGUAAGUGGAAUUCCUAGUGUAGCGGUGAAAUGCGUAGAUAUUAGGAGGAACACCAGUGGCGAAGGCGGCUUACUGGACUGUAACUGACGUUGAGGCUCGAAAGCGUGGGGAGCAAACAGGAUUAGAUACCCCUGUAGUC